AUAGCAAGUUUCAGGAAAGUAGUUCCCUCCUCCCUUCAUUUCCCAAAUCGUUGUCGAGCCACUGAACGGGGAAAGGGAGGAGGGAGGCGGAGGGAUACGCUAGGCAACGGACUCGGUGUGCGUGCGCGCGCUCCAAACUCUUGGCACGCUUCGAAAGGGGGCGGGGGUGUGAGCUGCACUGGGAGCUGCUAGGGAGGCUGCAUUGUUGCGGCGCGGUGCUCCCAGUUCCUCGCUUUGGAAUAUCCAAGUUGCCUGAAAGAAGAGGUUGGCAUGACAGUGUGCUCAAAGAGAAUAUUGGAGGCUACUCUGAUCUGACGUGUGUUUGUGCAACCUGCGAAUGAAGGCUUCUGCUCCUGCCACGUUGAAGAGUAGAACAAUUCCCGAGGAAGAAGAAAGUAGGAGAACCUCCCACACAAGCCAGCACUCCUGCCAUCUGUCCCCGGGAAGUUUCAGGAUUGCUGUUCUCAGGAGCAUUGCUGUUCUCAGGAGCGCGCACACUAGCUUGUUAACAGUGUUUUGCCCAUAGUAAGUGCUUAAUAAAUGUGUGACAAGUUAAUAAAGGAGCUAAACCAGU